rnacentral:lncRNA from 1 species
CCCGGCUCUGUUAUGUAAACAUAGAGUAAAGGGGACGGGGCCGCUCUUAAAGGGGCCGCGCUGAGGCGAUGCUGUUUUUCUGCCAUUCCUGGUGAAGAGGUGAAAUGGAAAAAGCCAGCCAAUCUCACAGGGCUGCGGAAUGGAGAUCUUCCCAGGGGCUGUGCGAAGAAGACAAGGUUUUAUUAAAGACAGAGAGCUGAAUUAUUACGGAUUUAUCUUCUUCGUUGCCCUAACAAAAUAGAAAAGAAAGCCAAGCUCACUUUUUGGAGACUUUCUUACCGAAGCACUGAUUUUCUUCCUGCAUCUCCCAAGGACCAAAAACUCUCAGCACCAAAAACCUGCUUUUAAUUUGCUGGUGAGAGCAACGAGGUAGAGAUGGAGCGAGGAGCUGCCCCACAUCCCCUACAGUCACAGCUGCAGAAUGUCUCCACAUGGCAGCUUUUUUGGGGAGCAUCCUCCAGCUUUCUCACAGCAGCUUCCUGGUGCACCUUUCAGCAGGAAUAUCCAGCAAAGCCAGGAAGGCAUUCAAAUCAGUGUCCAAAGAAGAAUCCUGAACACGAAGAAAUAGUGCAUACCCAUUUGUUUUUAAAAUGUGAUUUAAAAAUAUAUAUUUAAAAUACAGGAAGAUUAAUAAGGCUGUAAUUCAGCAAAGUGCUUACAGAUGUGCUGGGCUCAAAGUAAUUCAGCGCUUUCAUGAUUCAGGACUUAGGGAGUGAGCUUGAAAUACAGCAAAAGUACUGAAAGACAUAAUUUGCUGUUGUACCUGAGGCUUGUGUUGCACACAAAGCCGACAGGACACACAUCAGGUCUGGUGAUAUACAGGUGCACAGGUUUCCGUUGCAUUCCUGUGCAGCACCAUGCUGUGUAAUGGUCCUUGAUUCACAGAAACACCUAAAAUUUAGAAAGGGAAAUGACAUGAGGAAAAAAGUGGAAGAGUGAAAAGCAUGACAUGAUUUCAAAUCCCGCAGCAGCAGCUUAAGAAUGAGUUACAGGCUUGGGAUUAACACAGAGCAGUCCUUGCUAAAGACCCUACCAGAUUUUUACAAAGCAGUCUAGUGAAGCAGCAGAGUUGAAAAAGCAGCUAUCAAAUAACUGUAUCUAAGCAGGGCAAAGAGAAUAAAGGCAUAAACAGCAUCGAAUACA